rnacentral:rRNA from 1 species
GACGAACGCUGGCGGCGUGCUUAACACAUGCAAGUCGAACGCUGAAGCUUGGUGCUUGUAUUGGGUGGGUGUGUGGCGAAAGGGUGAGUAAAACGUGAGUAACAUGUCCUUGACUCUGGGAUAUGCCUGGGUAACUGGGUCUCUUACUGGAUAUGACAUGUCUCCGCCUGGUGGUGUGUGGAAAGGGUUUUACUGGUUUUGGAUGGGCUCACGGGCUAUCAGCUUGUUGGCGGGGUAAUGGCUCACCAAGGCGACGACGGGUAGCCGGCCUGAGAGGGUGACCGGCCACACGGGGACAGAGACACGGCCGGGAGUCCUGCGGGAGGCAGCAGUGGGGAAGAUUGCACGAUGGGCGGAAGCCUGAUGCAGCAACGCCGCGUGAGGGAUGACGGCCUUCGGGUUGUAAACCUCUUUCAGCACGGAAGAAGCGAAAGUGACGGUACGUGCAGAAGAAGCGCCGGCUAACUACGUG